rnacentral:rRNA from 1 species
GACGAACGUUGGCGGCGCGCUUAAUGCAUGCAAGUCGAACGAGAACCGCUCGUCUCGUAAGAGACGGACGGGGACAGUGGCGAACGGGUGCGUAACACGUGAGAAACCUGCCCCGAAGAUCGGGAUAGCCCGGGGAAACCCGGAUUAAUACCGGAUACCCUCGUGGGGUCGCAUGACCUCGCAAGGAAAUGGUCCGCCGCUUCGGGAUGGUCUCGCGGCCUAUCAGCUUGUUGGUGAGGUAACGGCUCACCAAGGCAGCGACGGGUAGCUGGUCUGAGAGGACGAUCAGCCACACUGGGACUGAGACACGGCCCAGACUCCUACGGGAGGCAGCAGCAGGGAAUAUUGCACAAUGGGCGAAAGCCUGAUGCAGCGACGCCGCGUGCGGGAUGAAUGCCUUCGGGUUGUAAACCGCUUUCAGGAGGGACGAAAAUGACGGUACCUCCAGAAGAAGGCCCGGCCAACUACGUGCCAGCAGCCGCGGUAACACGUAGGGGCCGAACGUUGUCCGGAUUUAUUGGGCGUAAAGGGCUCGUAGGCGGUUUGACAAGUCGGUCGUGAAAACCCGGGGCUCAACCCCGGGACGCCGAUCGAAACUGUCAUGACUAGGGU